rnacentral:rRNA from 1 species
UACGUAGGGUGCGAGCGUUGUCCGGAAUUAUUGGGCGUAAAGGGCUCGUAGGCGGUUUGUCGCGUCGGGAGUGAAAUCCACUGGCUUAACUGGUGGCUUGCUUUCGAUACGGGCAGACUGGAGGUAUGCAGGGGAGAACGGAAUUCCUGGUGUAGCGGUGAAAUGCGCAGAUAUCAGGAGGAACACCGGUGGCGAAGGGGGUUCUCUGGGCAUGUCCUGACGCUGAGGAGCGAAAGUGUGGGGAGCGAACAGG